rnacentral:rRNA from 1 species
CGGGUGGCAGCAGUGGGGAAUCUUGCGCAAUGGACGAAAGUCUGACGCAGCCACGCCGCGUGAGUGAAGAAGGCCUUCGGGUCGUAAAGCUCUGUCGGGAGGGACGAACAUCCAUUGGGUUAAUAGCCCAGUGGACUGACGGUACCUCCAAAGGAAGCACCGGCUAACUUCGUGCCAGCAGCCGCGGUAAUACGAGGGGUGCAAGCGUUGCUCGGAAUUAUUGGGCGUAAAGGGUAGGUAGGUGGUCUCGUUUGUCUGGGGUGAAAGCCUUGAGCUUAACUCAAGAAGUGCCUUAGAAACGGCGAGACUAGAGUCUUGGAGAGGGUCGUGGAAUUCCCGGUGUAGCGGUGAAAUGCGUAGAGAUCGGGAGGAACACCAGAGGCGAAGGCGGCGACCUGGACAAGUACUGACACUCAACUACGAAAGCGUGGGGAGCAAACAGGAUUAGAUACCCGGGU